rnacentral:ncRNA from 1 species
UUUGCCGGGGGUGCCCCAAAAUUUUUAGGGCUGAGAGAAUAUAUUUCAACUCUUUAAACCUGAUGCGGUUAAUGCCGACGCAGGGAGAGCAGAUUUA